GACGAACGCUGGCGGCGCGCUUAACACAUGCAAGUCGAACGGAAAGGCCUGCUUUCCCUUGUGGAUUGCGGGUACUCGAGUGGCGAACGGGUGAGUAACACGUGAGUGAUCUGCCCCCAACUUGGGUAUAAGCCUGGGAAACUGGGUCUAAUUCCCGAUAGGACUGCAGGGUGGUGCCUGUGGUGGAAAACGAUUUUCUAGUGGUUGGGGAUGAGCUCGCGGCCUAUCAGCUUGUUGGUGGGGUAAUGGCCUACCAAGGCGGCGACGGGUAGCCGGCCUGGGGGGGUGGACGGGCACAUUGGGACUGAGAUACGGCCCAGAAUCCUACGGGAGGCAGCAGUGGGGAAUAUUGCACAAUGGGCGGAAGCCUGAUGCAGCGACGCCGCGUGGGGGAUGACGGCCUUCGGGUUGUAAACUCCUUUCGACCGCGAGGAAGCCACCUGGUUGGAAGGGUGGUGACGGUAGUGGUAGAAGAAGCACCGGCUAACUACGUG
rnacentral:rRNA from 1 species